UAACGGUUAGUCUAAUAUAAGACCUCUAGUUUCGACCUAGAAAACCUCAGUAUUUUGAGACCAUUAA
rnacentral:tRNA from 1 species